rnacentral:lncRNA from 1 species
GGAGAGAGUCUCUUGUAAUUCUACUGCAGCUCAUGUCAUUCAUCUCUCUCUCGACAAUAUAUGGAACUACGAUGAUAUAGCAGAAUACAAUUUAGAUGAAAACAUUUAUGAUCUAAAAGUGUCCAUUUUCCAGCAUUUUAGGGAGCUUAAAAGCCUCAACUUAUCCUUUAAUAAAUUCGGUGGUCUUGUUGAGAAAGAAGGUAUCCUACUCCUUUACCUUAAUUCUCCAUAUCUGUAAGUUAUAGUUUUCUUUUUUCAUACAUGAAAUUAAAACUUGGAAUAUAAAAUGUUAAGUUAGCACGUGUAUUGGAGGAAACAAAUAUAUGUAGUUUUAUAUAUUCCAUCAGUUUCAAAAUGUUAAGUUACCAUGCCAAAUUAGCUUUAAAAAUAAAAAACAAAGCAUUUUGUUGAAUAAUAUUAAAGUUUUUGAAUUGUUAGAUUAGAUAUUCAAUUCCAAUAGCAAAAUUAAAUAUUUAUAUUUUUAAAUAAUUAUGCAUUGAUUUUGUUGGCUAAUAACUCCAAAAUUACAAUUGCAGGUUUGGAAAGAUUUUCAAAUUUGAAGAAAUUAAAGGUUUUAGACCUUAGCUUCAAUAGAUUCAACGGAAGCAUAUUAUCAUGGGUAACUCCUAUGACAUCAAUUAAGAUUUUGAAUCUGAGUGUGAAUAACAUGGAAGGUUCCUUCUCUUAUCAAGGUCUGCUUUCAUUUUUAAUUUCCAUUGUUUUUGUUCACAAUAAUUUUUUUCUCUUUUACUAAAAUUUUAAUUUAUUUCUCCAUUGCAUGGUUUAGAGCUAACUAAAUUGCAAAACUUGGAAGUAUUGGAUCUGAGUCUUAAUUAUUUCAAUGGCACCCUACCAAUGCAAGGUAAAUAUAUGCUAAUCCUUCUUAUUAUUAUCAUAUGAUUUGACUUUUGAAAAUAACAAUAAGAGCUAAAGGAAAAUAUUAUAAACCAAGUGAAAUUAGUUUCUUAUGAAAUUAUUAUAAAAGUUACUGUGUAAGCGGCUGGAGAAACCAAGCUCCAUAAUAAUCCGAAACUUUAUUUUUUCUUUCCAUAUUAGAGAGAAAUUAGAGCUUUAAUUUCUAAUAACAAAAUGUUGUGUUUCAUUAAUUUAGAAGCUUAGAUUAAGUUGAUAAAUAUUAGCAAAAAUCACAUAUAAAAUCAAUUGAAAGUUGUAAAAAUUACAAUAUAUAUAAUUGUGGGCCAAAAUAUGUUAGCUAGAAGUUAGCUGGAAGAUUCAAAUUGUGAAUUUUGUUCCUCAACUCAAGAAUGAAGAGAAAAAGAAAGAGUUCGAUAAAGAGAGAUCAAAAGCAAGAGGUGGGAUCAAAGUGCAACAACACCCAAUCGAAAUUUCAUUGUCCGCAGUUGAUUAAAAUAAGUAUCUUCUAACUGCGUUUAGGUUUUACUUAUCUAAGAUUCUAUAAAGAAGUGAUGUUUCAAAUUAUUAGAAGAUGAACAUGAGACGAAGGAGAUCCACUAAGAUAUAAAAAUAGAUUUUGGCAUUUUCUUUAAUGCGGGAAAAAGGAAAGUGAGAAUGACAUUUUCUUCUUUUUUUUUUCUUUUCUUUUAACGAGAUAAGAAAAUCAUCAAAUAAUUUAUAAUCACAUUCAUCUUCUACAUUUGUAACCUAGACAAACAUAUGAAAAACUUCAAGAGCUUUUUUUUUUUUUUUUUUUUUUUUUUUGUUUAGGUUGUAUUUGAAAGUAAAAUACAUGGAGUCUAUGUUCUAAUUAAUUUAUUUAAAUAUCGAUUGAAUAAAUAUUUAUGGCACCAGAUAAAUUAUAAAUAAAUUACAAAUUUAUUCAUAUACAAUUUUUUUUUCAAACUUAGAUCCACCCAUUUAUUAUAUAUUUUACCAUUAUAAUAAGAGUUAUUAAUCAUAGUAGUUAAUUUCACCAUUAUAAUAUAUCCCUUUAUUUUUAGAAAUUUUUUAAAUAUAAAUAAUUAGUUGAUGUGGUGUAUUGCUAAUUUGAACUUAUUUUCAUGUUAACUGGUGAAGUGAGUUUCAAGAUUAAGAGAUAAUUUAAAUAAAUGAACAAAGCCAAGAUAAAUAAACAAUAUUUGAUAAGGGUGAAUACUUCAAGACUCCACUAUUUAGUACCAUGUUGCUUAUUUGCCUUAGAUUCGUUCAUUUUGCUUAGAUGCUUAACAUAAUUGGAAUACAUAUAUAUUUGAUUCUCCCAAUAAAAUUAUUUAAUUACUUUCAUAAUUUUAAUUAUACUAAUUAAUUUUUAGCAUCGACUUUUGUGUUUAAAGUUCAACAUUUUUUUUUUUUUUUUGACUUAUAGCAGUAGAUAAGUUUGUUUUAGGAUUUUGAUCUUAUAUGUAAUCUAAUUAUAAUUUUUACCCCCCGUUUAUUUUCAAAAAAAUACAUUAAUUUCUAAUAUUUGGCUAUUACAUGAAAGAUCACUUAAAAAUAGUAAUUUUUCAGCAUUUGGUACAAUAGUAAGAAAAAGAAAUACUUUUUCACCAUAUAAAUAAUGCAUUCCUAUUUAUUAUAUUUUACAUAAAUUAAAAUAUAAACCUAAUUAAGUAAAUGAAAACGAAAAAAGAAUCAAAUAAAAGAUUAACCAUUGCAAAAAAAAUUAUUGUAAUAAUUUGAUUUUAAGUCGAAAAUAAAAGUUAUAUAUUGGCCUCAACUGCUAAUAUAUGUAUGUAUAUAUAUGUAUGUAGGUCCCGUUUUAUAUGGCAUAACCCAAGAAAGAGUUGAAUUGGGCUUUGUAAAAUUUUGACUUUAAAAACUCAAAUCAGAAUUCUAAAGCAGCGAAAAUAAAAAUUUUUUAUAAGAGUUAGUUAUUGCAAUUAAUACUUCCUCAUAAGGCUUAUAAAAGAUUAGAACACUAAUUAUAACUCAAAAAACUGGAGAAAUCAUAAAUAGAAAGCCAGAAUUCUAUUAAUCCACAAAAAUGAAUUUUUGCACUUUCAAAAUUAGAUAACAUAAACAACUUUGCAUUUCAGAAAAAAUAAAACAUAUGUGAAAAUAGAGCAAGUGCAAUCAAGCAAGAUCUCAAAAAUUAAAAGAAGAUUAACACAAGAUUUAUAGUGGUUCAGCACUAAUCUGCCUACAUCCACUCUCCAAGACUCAUUUUGAGAUUCUCCACUAAGAGACAAACCAACUUUAUAAAAGAAGCUAGUCGAAAACCGCGAUCCGCGCGGGUAUUUAAGUAUUAUUUUAUUAAUUGUUAUAGUUGAUUAUAUUAUUAUUUUUUAUAAACUAUUAUGCAUUGUCAAAUUGUUAGGUAGAACAAUUAAAAAUCCUACUUGAAAUAAUUAAUAAUGGUUCAAAAUGAUUUGUAAUAAAACGACAAUGACAAUGUUUGCAAUAGCAUAAUGUUGUAAUCAAGUUUCUUUAUCAAAAUAACCCCACAGUGGAGGAAGUACCAGUCACGAUCCAAAAUCAUGAGUCGGACCGAUACUAAGGCCUAGGUAAGUUUAAGACCCCCGAAGCCUAUAGUAAGCCUAAACUACAAAGUCUAUACACACCAAAUAAAAUCCUAGGAGCAGUAAGUCUAUCUAUCUAUAUAUAUAUAUAUAUAUAUAUCAAGUAAUCACAUGAUCCUGACCCAAUCUCAAACAUCUCAACUAAUACACAGCUCGAGUUUAUGUGUAAUAGACCUCAUUCAUAAUAUAGGCUAUCGGUUCAUGCAUGUGUCUAGAUAAAUAAUUAAGACAUUCAUGAGUCUAUAAAAUAGUAUACCUAUAUUACUACACGAUUAGAGGUAUAUAAAUCCUACAACUGCGGAGUUCAAUAAUAACUAGAAGUAAUAAAGUUCUUAUACAUAACAAUACAUAAAUUAGUUAACUACGGAAACUAGGAAUCUACUUAUAUAGCUCUGCGGAGAAGGUUGCAAAGCUUUAGUCGACUCAACGGGAAUCCUACUUCUUGAAAAGUUAAAAAAAUGAAGAGUGGGUUUUAUAACUCAGUGAAUAAUAAUAAAUAAUACAUAAACAUGUAUUCACGCGAAAUGCAACCUAAAACACUAAAAUGAACACGCAACCAAUCAAGCAUAUGGCAAAAUAUCAGCACCCACAAGUAAUUGCACCUUCAAGUAAGCAAACAAGUGAAAGUUGAUCAGUGGCGUCACCAACCCUCAAUGAGCCGUCAUCACACAUGGCCCGCCCUCUCAAACGUGUGCACCAGGGAGUCGAUCCCCCAUAUAUGGCCGACCGAUUUAAUCCUCACUUAACCAGUCUUCUCCUUUUUUUUUUAUACUCUAUUUUCUUUUCCAUACCAACAAGCGGCCACCCUAUGGUUUUUCAUAUCAUAUAUCAUCAUAUACAUACAGGGGUGCCGAUCUCCCCAUACAAGGCCGACGAUAUCGAAGACCGCCCACACAAACCCGUGGUAACCUACUUUAUCCCAAUUCCACACAAACAAGGCACAGUAAUUUUCACAGCAUAAGUAAUCAAACAAUUCAUUCAACAUAAAGCACCAAAGCAACCUUAAUGCACAGACAUAAAAGUAUAAUUAUAUAUUAAUAGUAAAAUAACAUAAUAGUAUACAUAUAAAAAUAAGUACUAAGUUAUCUCUUUUAUAUAUAUUUCUUUGUAAAAUAAAUGAUAUGUGUACGCAAUUAUGUUAUGUACUAUUUAUUAUUACUCACAGUGGUAGAUAAUAGAAGGAGCUCUAACUCAGAUUUUGACUCUUAGGAGCAGCAGACAAACCCGGACAAUCUAAAGAAUUUAAAAAUAUAAGGAAAGAAUUGCAUCAGACAAAGGACUAAUUUAAAUAAAGAAUUAGGGAAUUAAUCUAAUGAUUAUCUAUGUAUCUAACUGCUAUAACUAGCCUAAAUUCGACCGAAAUUUUGGCAGCAUCUCCCCUAAAAAUUGAACUAUCCACCUGUUUAAAUAUCAAUAAUUUCAUUAAAUAUUCACUCAAUCCACACAGCCCAUCCAUCGGACAAUCAAUCAAAUCAAUUUAUUUUCCCUUCCUCCAACAAAGUAACAAAAUAAUUAUUUAACCAUCUAUACAAAACCUUAGCUUUACUUAAUCCAUGAUUUCAACAUCAAUACAAAUUAGUUUAGUACUAAAACAAAAAUAUUCAUAGCUUUACUAAGAUUAAACAAAUAAGUAAAUAAAUACGCAAUUAAAUGAAAAUGGUUAUUUGUUUAAUCUCCACAUCCUACUACUUUAAACUAUCCAAUCAUAUAUAACCUUUAAUAAUCAUACAAAGUUAUAGAUCACAUUUCUUUUACCAACAUUAACUAGGAUCUUAUGUAACAACUUAAUAAUCCAGUGAAUCACUCUCCUCACCAAGCAAGAUUAUAGGAAACGUCCUAUUUAAAUUAUCUAUUAAGCAUAACCAAAUAAGUAUACUUUAACUAAUCAAUUCUUAGCACGAAUUGAAUUUAUAACUCAAUACACUAUACCCUUUCCUAUUCAUUAAGCAAAAUUUAACCAAAAUAACUAAACUAGCUGCUGCCUCAACAGUAAAUAAAAAUUCAUAUAUAUGAACUUAAUUAAAUCAAAAAACUAUAAUUUCUCUAAUCAAAAGUUGUUGCCAUUUAUACAAUUCUUAGCCUCUAAAUGAAAAUUACCUCAAUAACACCAAAUCACCCACUAAAUCAGAAAAUUCAUGAAAUUUACUAGAAAAGGUUGAAAUUUAUUUACCUAGCUACAACGUGCGUCGGAAAAUGAAUUUUUCCAGUUAAAGUAACCGGCACCAGCAACCAAGCACCAACACCGUCACUGACGCCACUAACUUGACCGGGGAUGCACGAGAAAGUGGCUGGAGGCACGUGGAGGUGAGGAAAGGGUGUAGUCCGGCCGGUCCUUGACUGUUUCGCUGGAAAAGUGAAGGGAACGCUGAAGGAGGCAGCGUCGAUUGGACAAGCACAACUCACAGCUCCCCUCGUCCGCUAAACAAGACCGAGACAGGAUAGAAAGGAAGGCCGGAGAGACAUCGCCAGUGGAAGGAGUCAACCGGUCGAGCUGGAGUCACCGAAAAAUCGAGAUGGAGACGCGAUUUCACGAUUGAGUGAAUCGCAGUUCUCCUGCGGUUGCUACGCUCGCCAGGAACGAAAGGACAGAGAGAAAGAGACCGAAGACAUGUGGUGAGGAGGCGACGACAGUAGGGAGGCGAUGGCGGCGAGGCGGAAUCGGCGCUGGCUUCAGGUGAUCGGAAAACCAAAAGGGUAGGGGGAGGGGCUGUGGCGCGAUGGGGAGAGAAAGGAGAGUGAGGGAUGGGAUUUUUUUGGUAUUUUCUUAUUUCUGGAACAUUCUAAUUGGUCUAAGGCUGGUUUGGUUCGAUUCAGAGUCUUUGCUUGGAUUUCCUUUUGGUUUGUGGGUUUUCUAAUGAUUUUUAUUUUAGUUAUAGGUUUGGUUUAACAAAUAAAAUUAUAUUUGUAUUAAAUUUUUAUUAAAUAAAUUGUAAAGCA